rnacentral:tRNA from 1 species
GCCGGUAUAGCUCAGAUGGUAGAGCACGUGAUUUGUAAUCUCGGGGUCGGGGGUUCAAGUCCCUCUGCCGGCACCA